rnacentral:rRNA from 1 species
UAGGGAAUCUUCGGCAAUGUGACGGAAGUCUGACCGAGCAACGCCGCGUGAGUGAAGAAGGUUUUCGGAUCGUAAAGCUCUGUUGUAAGUCAAGAACGAGUGUGAGAGUGGAAAGUUCACACUGUGACGGUAUCUUACCAGAAAGGGACGGCUAACUACGUGCCAGCAGCCGCGGUAAUACGUAGGUCCCGAGCGUUGUCCGGAUUUAUUGGGCGUAAAGCGAGCGCAGGCGGUUAGAUAAGUCUGAAGUUAAAGGCUGUGGCUUAACCAUAGUACGCUUUGGAAACUGUUUAACUUGAGUGCAAGAGGGGAGAGUGGAAUUCCAUGUGUAGCGGUGAAAUGCGUAGAUAUAUGGAGGAACACCGGUGGCGAAAGCGGCUCUCUGGCUUGUAACUGACGCUGAGGCUCGAAAGCGUGGGGAGCAAACAGGAUUAGAUACCCUGGUAGUCCACGCCGUAAACGAUGAGUGCUAGGUGUUAGACCCUUUCCGGGGUUUAGUGCCGCAGCUAACGCAUUAAGCACUCCGCCUGGGGAGUACGACCGCAAGGUUG